rnacentral:rRNA from 1 species
GCAACAGCUAGAGUUUGAUCCUGGCUCAGGAUGAACGCUGGCGGCGUGCUUAACACAUGCAAGUCGAACGGAGUUAAAGGGAGGAAGUUUUCGGAUGGAAUCGCUUUAACUUAGUGGCGGACGGGUGAGUAACGCGUGGGUAACCUGCCUCACACUGGGGGAUAACAGAUAGAAAUAUCUGCUAAAACCGCAUAAGCGCACGAGGUCGCAUGACCAUGUGUGAAAAACUCCGGUGGUGUGAGAUGGACCCGCGUCUGAUUAGGCAGUUGGCGGGGUAGAGGCCCACCAAACCGACGAUCAGUAGCCGGCCUGAGAGGGUGAACGGCCACAUUGGGACUGAGACACGGCCCAAACUCCUACGGGAGGCAGCAGUGGGGAAUAUUGCACAAUGGGGGAAACCCUGAUGCAGCGACGCCGCGUGAGUGAAGAAGUAAUUCGUUAUGUAAAGCUCUAUCAGCAGGGAAGAAAGUGACGGUACCUGAGUAAGAAGCCCCGGCUAACUACGUGCC